AGAGUUUGAUCAUGGCUCAGAAUCAACGCUGGCGGCGUGCCUCAGACAUGCAAGUCGAACGCGAAAGUCCCCUUCGGGGGGCGAGUAGAGUGGCGCACGGGUGAGUAACACGUAGGUAAUCUGCCUUUGGGUGGGGAAUAACAGCCGGAAACGGCUGCUAAUACCGCAUAAUGCAGCGGCACCACAUGGUGACAGUUGUUAAAGCGGGGGAUCCUUCGGGACCUCGCGCCUAAAGAGGAGCCUGCGGCAGAUUAGCUAGUUGGUGAGGUAAUGGCUCACCAAGGCUUCGAUCUGUAGCCGGCCUGAGAGGGCGGUCGGCCACACUGACACUGACAUACGGGUCAGACUCCUACGGGAGGCAGCAGUCGGGAAUUUUGGGCAAUGGGCGCAAGCCUGACCCAGCAACGCCGCGUGAAGGAUGAAAUCCCUCGGGAUGUAAACUUCGCAAGAAUGGGAAGAAUAAGUGGGGGACAAUACCCCCCAUGAUGACGGUACCAUUUGUAAGCUCCGGCUAACUCCGUGCCAGCAGCCGCGGUAAUACGGGGGGAGCAAGCGUUGUUCGGAAUCAUUGGGCGUAAAGGGCGCGUAGGCGGCCAGUACAAGUCUGGGGUGAAAUCCCUCGGCUUAACCGAGGAAUUGCCUUAGAAACUGUACGGCUUGAGUAUUGGAGAGGAAAGCGGAAUUCCCAGUGUAGCGGUGAAAUGCGUAGAUAUUGGGAGGAACACCGGUGGCGAAGGCGGCUUUCUGGACAAUCACUGACGCUGAGGCGCGAAAGCCAGGGGAGCAAACGGGAUUAGAUACCCCCGUAGUCC
rnacentral:rRNA from 1 species